UACGGAAGGGGCAAGCGUUGUUCGGAAUCAUUGGGCGUAAAGGGCGCGUAGGUGGUUCUGUAUGCCUACCGUGAAAGCGUACGGCUCAACCGUAUUUUGUCGGUAGAAACUGCAGGACUUGAGGCUGGGAGGGGCUGGUGGAAUUCCCUGUGUAGCGGUGAAAUGCGUAGAGAUGGGGGAGAACACUCGUGGCGAAGGCGGCCAGCUAGACCAGUUCUGACACUGAGGCGCGAUAGCGUGGGGAGCAAACAGG
rnacentral:rRNA from 1 species